GACGAACGCUGGCGGCGUGCCUAAUACAUGCAAGUUGAGCGCUGAGGGGUGGUACUUGUACCUACUGCAUGAGCAGCGAACGGGUGAGUAACGCGUGGGUAAUCUGCCUUUAAGCGGGGGACAACAUCUGGAAACGAAUGCUAAUACCGCAUAAAAACUUUAAACACAAGGUUUAAGAUUGAAAGAUGCAAUUGCUUCACCCUAAGGAUAUAUCGCGUCGUAUUAGCUAGGUGGUGAGGGAAAGGCCCAACCAAGGCAUGAUACAUAGCCGACCCUGAAGGGUGAUCGGCCACAUUGGGACUGAGACACGGCCCAAACCCCUACGGGAGGCAGCAGGAGGGGAACUUCGGGCAUGGACGAAAGGCUGACCGGGCAACGCCGCGUGAGUGAAGAAGGUUCUCGGAUCGGAAAACUCCGGUGGUAGGGAAGAACGAUGGUGGGAAGGGAAAGCUCAUCAAGUGACGGUACCUACCCAGAAAGCGACGGCUAACUACGUG
rnacentral:rRNA from 1 species